UACGUAGGGUGCAAGCGUUGUCCGGAAUUAUUGGGCGUAAAGAGCUCGUAGGCGGUUUGUCGCGUCUGCUGUGAAAACUCGGGGCUUAACCCCGGGCCUGCAGUGGGUACGGGCAGACUAGAGUGCGGUAGGGGAGACUGGAAUUCCUGGUGUAGCGGUGAAAUGCGCAGAUAUCAGGAGGAACACCGGUGGCGAAGGCGGGUCUCUGGGCCGGAACUGACGCUGAGGAGCGAAAGCGUGGGGAGCGAACAGG
rnacentral:rRNA from 1 species